CCUACGGGAGGCAGCAGUAGGGAAUGUUGCGCAAUGGGCGAAAGCCUGACGCAGCAACGCCGCGUGAUCGAGACGCCCUUCGGGGUGUAAAGAUCUGUCAGUGGGGACGAAACGGGACGGUACCCACAGAGGAAGCACCGGCUAACUCCGGGCCAGCAGCCGCGGUAAUACGGGGGGUGCAAGCGUUGUCCGGAAUCAUUGGGCGUAAAGAGUUCGUAGGCGGCACGUAAAGUCUGGUGUUAAAGGCCGAGGCUCAACUUCUGUACGGCACUUGAUACUUGCGAGCUAGACUGCGGUAGAGGUAACGGGACUUCCUGGUGUAGCGGUGAAAUGCUUAGAUAUCAGGCGUAACAUCGGUGGCG
rnacentral:rRNA from 1 species